AAUCAACGCUGGCGGCGUGCCUCAGACAUGCAAGUCGAACGAUUAAAGCUCUCUUCGGAGAGUGUAUAGAGUGGCGCACGGGUGAGUAACACGUAAGUAAUCUACCUUUGAGUGGGGAAUAACAAUCGGAAACGAUUGCUAAUACCGCAUAAUGCAGCGGCAUCGCAAGAUGACAGUUGUUAAAGGAGCAAUCCGCUUAAAGAGGAGCUUGCGGCAGAUUAGCUAGUUGGUAAGGUAAUGGCUUACCAAGGCUACGAUCUGUAACCGGUCUAAGAGGACGGUCGGUCACACUGACACUGAAUAACGGGUCAGACUCCUACGGGAGGCAGCAGUCGGGAAUUUUGGGCAAUGGGCGAAAGCCUGACCCAGCAACGCCGCGUGAAGGAUGAAGUAUUUCGGUAUGUAAACUUCGAAAGAAUGGGAAGAAUCAAUGACGGUACCAUUUAUAAGGUCCGGCUAACUACGUGCCAGCAGCAGCCGCCGUAA
rnacentral:rRNA from 1 species